rnacentral:rRNA from 1 species
CCAAGGAGUCUAGCGUGUACGCGAGUCAAUAGGUGUAAAACCUAAAGGCGAAAUGAAAGUGUAACAGUAUAAAUUUUAAAUAAUUUUUAUUGUGAUGGGAGGACAAGGUAUUGUUAGUUAAAUGGCAUACCUUCGCACUCCCGGGGCGUUUUAUUCUCAUUGCGAGUUAAAACGCACCAGGAGCGUACACGCUGGUACCCGAAAGAUGGUGAACUAUGCCUGAUCAGGACGAAGCCAGGGGAAACCCUGGUGGAGGUCCGAAGCGAUUCUGACGUGCAAAUCGAUCGUCUGAGUUGGGUAUAGGGGCGAAAGACCAAUCGAACCAUC